GUGAGUCCAGCUGUGGACACUUUCCAGUUCCAGUGGUGGUGGAUGAUGAUUCCAGCAGCAGCUCAGAUCAACGUGUUGGAAGAUGUGGCAGCUGGACCACACCAGCCAAUAGGAGGCCAGAGCCUGGUGGCCGUUAGUCACAUGACUGCUGCUGCUUCCUGUCCGACCAUGGCCUCCUCAGUGAGGAAACAAACAGAGACAACAUCAGAGACGGCCCCACCUACCUGCAUGAUGAUCACUGAAGUGGAGUUUCCAGUCUGAAAGCAGGAUUCCACACAAAGUACUGCUUUAACUUCAAAGUCAGGUCUGGUCUGGACGAAUCUGAGGACGAAACAUCUGGAGAUGGAAACUAUCACCAGUGAACCUGAUAACCAGUGAACCUGAUCACCAGUUAAACUGGAACAGCGGCACCAAUAGAUGACCAGUAUCACUGAAAACAACAUCUGUGGUUAACAGGACAAAUUCCAGCUCUCUCCAAAUCAGCAUCAGACACAUGAUUGAUCUUCUUAAACUGUUCUCCAGCAGAACCUCCUGACUCUCAUUAUAGAACAAUGUGGAGCUCCAUGAUUUCUGUGUGGGGUUUUCACUCUCAAAAACAGAAUAAAAUAGGAAAAGGGCUCGAGGACAGCCAUUCUAGAUGUGUUCACGGUCCAGACCAGCUCUAAACUGUUCUUCCUCGGUGACUUCCGGUGUUGCUACAAAAUAAAACAACAGCCGUAUUUUGUAUUUCGGGUUUAAAAGCUCGACCAAAAAAGAAUUACAGACAAACUUUAACAAAAGCUGCCUGGGAGUUUACAGGUUUUUAUGUUAAAUUUCUUCAGUAAUUUAAUGAGAGUUAUUAGCAAAAAUCAAGUGUUCAUUUGAUGAACUUCAUUUCCUAAAAACAUCCAGAAUUGGAGCUCAUAUCUUUGACAGCUGUAAAGUUUCUGCUCCUUCAAAGUUCACAACACAAUGAAUGAAUUCCUAAAACACUCUCAAUGCUGGAGAGCAUUUGAUGCUGAAGCAGUGAGCAGUUUUUCUGUUUCUUCUCUGGAGAUGCACAAUGAGGGACGUCUGCAGCGACUGAGAAAGAGUCUCACCACAUCCUGACAUGAGGAAAAAGACUUUAUUGAAGACUACAAUGAGAAAAACUAUCAGACAGCAGACGGCUGCAUUCAAGGUGAGCUCUGAACAUUUGAUCUGGAACAGGAAUUCAAUAACUGCAGCAUGAGCUUCAUUUCAGUCUGUAGCUGCUGAAUUCAUGGAUGAAUCAUCUGGCACUAGAGAGGAAGACCAUCAAACAUCCACGUCAGCUGAUGGAGGUCCAAGAGUCUCACCCAACAAACAACCUACAGAGUGAAGACCUCCAAUCUGAUUGGACGGCCUCCUAUUCAGCCACAUGUGUGAACAAAUGCCUCUAAGUUGAUUUGUUUUCUAAAAUAAAUCUAGUUUGUGUCCUAAUCUAUGCCUGUGUGUUUGCUUCUUUACACCGCUGUUAACAGUUUAGGCUGUUAGAUUGUUCCAGAUAAGACAAGUACAAGAUUCUUCAGAGCCUUUCUACCACGAGCCUGACAGGAAGAACUCCAACAGCUACUGAAUGUUCCUGUGGUUCCCUCAAGGCUACAGGAGGAGUCCUACGAGGACGAGCUGGUCCACCUGA
ensembl:lncRNA